AGUGAACGCUGGCGGUAGGCCUAACACAUGCAAGUCGAACGGCAGCACAGUAAGAGCUUGCUCUUACGGGUGGCGAGUGGCGGACGGGUGAGGAAUACAUCGGAAUCUACUUUUUCGUGGGGGAUAACGUAGGGAAACUUACGCUACUACCGCAUACGCCCUACGGGUGAAAGCAGGGGAUAUUCGGACCUUGCGCGAUUGAAUGAGCCGAUGUCGGAUUAGCUAGUUGGCGGGGUAAAGGCCCACCAAGGCGACGAUCCGUAGCUGGUCUGAGAGGAUGAUCAGCCACACUGGAACUGAGACACGGUCCAGACUCCUACGGGAGGCAGCAGUGGGGAAUAUUGGACAAUGGGCGCAAGCCUGAUCCAGCCAUACCGCGUGGGUGAAGAAGGCCUUCGGGUUGUAAAGCCCUUUUGUUGGGAAAGAAAAGCAGCAGGUUAAUACCCCGCUGUUCUGACGGUACCCAAAGAAUAAGCACCGGCUAACUUCGUG
rnacentral:rRNA from 1 species